AGGAGGAAAGGAGGACGAAAGAGAAGGAAGGAGGGAAGGAGGGAGGGUCAGCCGGGGAGCGCCUCAGCCCAUCCCGGCCCUGACUCCCUCCCUCCCCUCUGCAGCAGGCAGCGAGCGCUGUCCAAAAUCGAUCCCUCCCUCUCUCCGACCCAGUCCUACCGGCAGCAGCAGGCAGAGGCCAGAGGCAGAGGCUGGCUUCGGUCCGUCCCUGGAGCAGCGCACCCGCCUACCGCGGGAGGAGCACCCGUCCGACGCCCCGUGCACCACCGCCGGCCAUGGAUCCGGCCCCCUCGCGUCCGAAGCAGGCAGCACCUGCCCGUGGGGGCGGAUAGCUCCUCCUCGCGCGCGCCGAUUCGGAGGUUUUGCCGAUUGGUGUCUCGCUCUCCUGCCUCGCCAGCAGCUCCGAGGGCUUUUUUGGCAUGUGUGUGCGCGCGUGUGUUUCUAAUUUGGCCUCCCGCCGCCAGAGAGCAAAAAAGAAAGUCCAGAUUUGACGAGCGCCGGCAAGCUGCCCGCCGACCGCGGCCGUCCUCGAAGCGCCGUCGGGGCGCCUGCGAGUGCCAGAAGCCAGACGGACGUGGCCCGCCGGAAACCUGCAGGGUUUUCUCUGAAAUCGAAUUCAGAUGGUCCAGAUCUCCGGGAGCAGGAGGAGGAGCAGGAGGCUUGCGAGAUCCAGAGCAGCGCUGCGGAAGCCGGGAAAUCCAGCAGCCCUUAAAUAGGCACCCUCCUCCGUCUGCUUUGGCGAAGGGAAGGACACGAAGGGGAGCCCGUUCUCCCAGCGCUCUCUCCCCGGGCGCACCCGAACUUUUAUGGAUCCGCCAGCCGGCCGCCUUUCCUACAUCUCAGCGACCUCCCCGGGCUCAGCUGGCUCCCACCGCGGCGGCGGCAGCAGGGCGAAGGAGACAGCCGCCGCCGCCGCCGUCGGGGCAACUUGUGCCUGGGCGCCUCCCGCGGCCGCUACCCGCUCUAGGGCCGGCCGGAAUCGAGUGUCCGAGGCCGCCGAGGAGCCAGGUGCAUCCGGCGCGUGGGACAUUCCAAGGAGCGCUUCUUGGCUUCUCUUGGGAGGGCGCUAAAAUUAAGCCCCAGGCUAUAAAUACCGUCCCUGCGAGAUUCCUCCGGAAGAUCGUCUGUCUGUUGACCGCAGGAGCUUGCUGGGAAGUAGCCUGGCCGAGGGUCUAG
rnacentral:lncRNA from 1 species